GCAUGCAGGUGAGAAGGGAAGAUACAUGUAAUCUGCAUGUCUGCCACCAUUCCUUGUUACCCUUUUUCAUAUCCCAUGAGCACAGCACUCCAGCGGACCUACCCAAAAUAUGUGGGAGUUCAGUGAAACUCAAACAGCAUGCUUCUGGUCAGCCUAUACAGUCUCUGUCCUGGUGAGGAGCAUGAUCACCAACAGGCAAGAUCUUCUGGCCUUGAAGUUUCGCUUGAGUUAAAAGAGCUCAUCUCAGGACUUUCUGAAUUUUCAGCCCAUAUGACAUGGAAGAAGAGUUAGAAGGGGAAUCUGACUGCUUGGAUCAGGGACUGUCUGGCUGGUGGAACUUGAAUGUAUACAACACUCUUCAUUUGCAUGUUUUGACAUUUUAAAAAAUGUUUUCACUUUCCUUAUCUACUUUGACUCUAAUAACAUCCUGAAAGGUGCUGUUGUCCUCUUUCUGGACCUUAGAGAUGUACAGUGCGCCACUCUGAGGAUCAAGUCUGACCCUGCCUUUAAAUUUGGAUUCAAAGUACUUAGAUUUUCUGGAAUCCCAUUCUACAAUCUUCUGGUCGAAAGUAUAAAACCAGCAUUGGCCAGCUUGAGAAAUAAAGGGACAGAGUACAAAAGAGAGAAAUUUUAAAGCUGAGCAUCUGGGGGAGACAUCACAUGUCGUCUGCAGGUGUACCCAACAGCUCCGAAGAGACAGUGACAUCGAGAACGGGCCAUGAUGACGAUGGCGGUUUUGUCGAAAAGAAAAGGGGGAAAUGUGGGGAAAAGCAAGAGAGAUGAGAUUGUUACUGUGUCUGUAUAGAAAGAAGUAGACAUAGGAGACUCCAUUUUGUUCUGUACUAAGAAAAAUUCUUCUGCCUUGAGAUGCUGUUAAUCUAUGACCUUACCCCCAACCCCGUGCUCUCUGAAACAUG
rnacentral:lncRNA from 10 species